rnacentral:tRNA from 1 species
GCGCCUAUGAUGUAGCGGUAGCCUGCUAGCUUGCCAAGCUAGAUGUAUGGGUUCGACUCCCAUUAGGCGCU